AGGUCCUCAAUAAGUAUUUGUUGAAAGAAUAAAUAAACCAACAAGUCUUAUUUGAGCACCUGU
rnacentral:pre_miRNA from 2 species